UACGGAGGGUGCGAGCGUUGUCCGGAAUUACUGGGCGUAAAGAGCUCGUAGGUGGUUUGUCGCGUUGUUCGUGAAAACUCACGGCUUAACUGUGAGCGUGCGGGCGAUACGGGCAGACUGGAGUACUGCAGGGGAGACUGGAAUUCCUGGUGUAGCGGUGGAAUGCGCAGAUAUCAGGAGGAACACCGGUGGCGAAGGCGGGUCUCUGGGCAGUAACUGACGCUGAGGAGCGAAAGCGUGGGGAGCGAACAGG
rnacentral:rRNA from 1 species